ensembl:lncRNA PSMG3-AS1 PSMG3 antisense RNA 1 (head to head)
UCCCGGGCCUCAGCCCCUCUGCUGCAGACCCUCGGGAUCGUCGCUGGAAAGAUUCUGAAGCUUGGCGGAGAGGGGUGUGUGAGUGGACACCAGUGAAGUAACGGUUUUUGUGUUACGAUGAUUUCUGUUUUCCUCUGCUGCCCUGUAAUGGCAGGAACUCGGAUAGUCUGGUCUUCAGACCAGGAGGACUCCCAGGAGAGAACGGAGAGCCAGUGUGCUGUGUGUCACGGUCCCUGGAUGAACGUUUGUGGAACUGGAUUGAAUUAAACAAGACGUGCAAAGCAAGUGGUUCACGAGGUAGUGUGGGGGUGUAGGGAUGGGGACUGACCCGGGAGGCAGGACACAGCCCAAGCCCUGCCUUGGCCUCACCUCUAACUUGCUGAUGACCUUGGAUGAUUCCCUUCCCAUCCUGGGCCUCUGUUUUCUCAUCUGUAAAAUGGGCAGAUUGGCAAUGUGGCCUCCAGGUCUGUA